CUUGGCUAAGGUGUCUUGGCUAAGGUGUCUUGGCUAAUGUGUCUUGGCUAAGGUGUCUUGGCUAAGGUGUCUUGGCUAAGGUGUCUUGGCUUAGGUGUCUUGGCUAAGGUGUCUUGGCUAAGGUGUCUCGGCUAAUGUGUCUUGGCUAAGGUGUCUUGGCUAAGGUGUCUUGGCUAAUGUGUCUCGGCUAAUGUGUCUUGGCUAAGGUGUCUUGGCUAAUGUGUCUUGGCUAAUGUGUCUUGGCUAAGGUGUCUUGGCUAAUGUGUCUUGGCUAAUGUGUCUCGGCUAAUGUGUCUUGGCUAAGGUGUCUUGGCUAAGGUGUCUUGGCUAAUGUGUCUUGGCUAAGGUGUCUCGGCUAAUGUGUCUUGGCUAAGGUGUCUUGGCUAAGGUGUCUUGGCUAAUGUGUCUCGGCUAAUGUGUCUCGGCUAAUGUGUCUCGGCUAAUGUGUCUCGGCUAAUGUGUCUCGGCUAAUGUGUCUUGGCUAAGGUGUCUUGGCUAAUGUGUCUUGGCUAAUGUGUCUUGGCUAAUGUGUCUUGGCUUAGGUGUCUUGGCUAAGGUGUCUU